rnacentral:tRNA from 1 species
CAAAGCAAAGCUAAAAUAGAAUAGCAUUUCACUUACAUUGAAAAGAAUUACUGUGCAAAUCAGUUUGUUUUGA